rnacentral:rRNA from 1 species
AACGAACGCUGGCGGCAUGCCUAACACAUGCAAGUCGAACGAAGGCUUCGGCCUUAGUGGCGCACGGGUGCGUAACGCGUGGGAAUCUGCCCUUGGGUUCGGAAUAACAGCGGGAAACUGCUGCUAAUACCGGAUGAUGACGUAAGUCCAAAGAUUUAUCGCCCAAGGAUGAGCCCGCGUAGGAUUAGCUAGUUGGUGGGGUAAAGGCCCACCAAGGCGACGAUCCUUAGCUGGUCUGAGAGGAUGAUCAGCCACACUGGGACUGAGACACGGCCCAGACUCCUACGGGAGGCAGCAGUGGGGAAUAUUGGACAAUGGGCGAAAGCCUGAUCCAGCAAUGCCGCGUGAGUGAUGAAGGCCUUAGGGUUGUAAAGCUCUUUUACCCGGGAUGAUAAUGACAGUACCGGGAGAAUAAGCGCCGGCUAACUCCGUG